rnacentral:rRNA from 1 species
CAGUCGAGGGGCAGCGGGGAGGUAGCAAUACUUCCGCCGGCGACCGGCGCACGGGUGAGUAACACGUAUGGAACCUGCCCGUAGCAGGGGGAUAAGCGGAAGAAAUUCCGUCUAAUACCGCGUAAUAACUCCGAGAGGCAUCUCUUGGGGUUUAAAGGGUAACACCGGCUACGGAUGGCCAUGCGGCGCAUUAGCUAGUUGGCGGGGUAACGGCCCACCAAGGCGACGAUGCGUAGGGGUUCUGAGAGGAAGGUCCCCCACACUGGUACUGAGACACGGACCAGACUCCUACGGGAGGCAGCAGUGAGGAAUAUUGGUCAAUGGGCGCGAGCCUGAACCAGCCAAGUCGCGUGAGGGAAGACGGUCCUAUGGAUUGUAAACCUCUUUUGUCGGGGAGCAAAAGACGUCACGUGUGGCGUUCCGAGAGUACCCGAAGAAAAAGCAUCGGCUAACUCCGUGCCAGCAGCCGCGGUAAUACGGAGGAUGCGAGCGUUAUCCGGAUUUAUUGGGUUUAAAGGGUGCGCAGGCGGAAGAUCAAGUCAGCGGUAAAAUUGAGAGGCUCAACCUCUUCGAGCCGUUGAAACUGGUUUUCUUGAGUGAGCGAGAAGUAUGCGGAAUGCGUGGUGUAGCGGUGAAAUGCAUAGAUAUCACGCAGAACUCCGAUUGCGAAGGCAGCAUACCGGCGCUCAACUGACGCUCAUGCACGAAAGUG